rnacentral:rRNA from 1 species
GUGGGGAAUCUUGCGCAAUGGGCGAAAGCCUGACGCAGCCAUGCCGCGUGAAUGAUGAAGGUCUUAGGAUUGUAAAAUUCUUUCACCGGGGACGAUAAUGACGGUACCCGGAGAAGAAGCUCCGGCUAACUUCGUGCCAGCAGCCGCGGUAAUACGAAGGGGGCUAGCGUUGCUCGGAAUUACUGGGCGUAAAGGGCGCGUAGGCGGACAGCUUAGUCAGAGGUGAAAGCCCAGGGCUCAACCUUGGAAUUGCCUUUGAUACUGGCUGUCUUGAGUUUGGGAGAGGUGAGUGGAACUACGAGUGUAGAGGUGAAAUUCGUAGAUAUUCGGAAGAACACCAGUUGCGAAGGCGACUCACUGGCCCAAUACUGACGCUGAGGCGCGAAAGCGUGGGGAGCAAACAGGAUUAGAAACCCGUGUAGUCC